rnacentral:lncRNA from 1 species
CAUGUGGAGUCAAUGGACAGGCUGGAACUCCUUUUGAGAUGCUUGGCUGUGGUUUCUCACAUGCUUGCUAUCUACUAAUAAUAGCAAUCCCAAUUAAUUCCAAAGGUUGUGAAUCCCACUUAUGUUGAAAGAUUGUGUCUUUUGAAAAAGAAGUGUAAAGGGUUGUGUCUUUUCUAAAAGUUCUAUGUUGGAAGGUUGUGUCUUUUCCAAUUAAUUUUUAAGGUUGUGAAUCCACUUAUGUUGAAAGGUUGUGUCUUUUGAAAAAGUAGUGUAAAAGGUUGUGUCUUUUCUAAAAGUUCUAUGUUGUAAGGUUGUGUCUUUUCCAAUUAAUUCCUAAAGUUGUGAACUUCAAUUAUGUUGAAAGGUUGUCUUUUGAAAAAUAUGUGUAGAGGGUUGUGUCUUUUCUAAAAG